rnacentral:rRNA from 1 species
CCUACGGGAGGCAGCAGUAAGGAAUAUUGGACAAUGGGCGCAAGCCUGAUCCAGCCAUGGCCGCGUGAAGGAUUAAGGUCCUCUGGAUUGUAAACUUCUUUUAUAAGGGACGAAAAAAGGGAAUUCUUUCUCACUUGACGGUACCUUAUGAAUAAGCACCGGCUAACUCCGUGCCAGCAGCCGCGGUAAU